GUAGGACACAACUUCCUACACUGCCAACUGUUAAGUAAGUUUUGGCUGAACACAUGAAUGAAUGAAGAAAACAAUGAAGGAAGAAAGGAAUUAAAAGCUUUCAGAUGAGGAAACUAAAGUCCAGAAAUUUUUUACAACGUGCCCAAGGCUACUCAGAUAGAGAAGAAGAACCUUCAUGUGAAACUUACAACGAUUCCAGAAAUAUCUA